UACGUGGGGGGCAAGCGUUGUCCGGAUUUACUGGGCGUAAAGAGCGCGUAGGCGGCAGCUUAAGUGGGGCCUGAAAGCCCCCGGCUCAACCGGGGAGGGUGGCUGCAAACUGGGCUUCUUGAGGGCGAUAGAGGAGAGUGGAAUUCCUGGUGCAGCGGUGAAAUGCGUAGAUAUCAGGAGGAACACCGGUGGCGAAGGCGGGUCUCUGGGCAACAACUGACGCUGAGGAGCGAAAGCGUGGGGAGCGAACAGG
rnacentral:rRNA from 1 species